rnacentral:rRNA from 1 species
UGGAGGGCAAGUCUGGUGCCAGCAGCCGCGGUAAUUCCAGCUCCAAUAGCGUAUAUUAAAGUUGUUGUGGUUAAAAAGCUCGUAGUUGAACCUUGGGCCUGGCUGGCCGGUCCGCCUCACCGCGUGUACUGGUCCGGCCGGGCCUUUCCCUCUGUGGAACCCCAUGCCCUUCACUGGGUGUGGUGGGGAAACAGGACUUUUACUGUGAAAAAAUUAGAGUGCUCCAGGCAGGCCUAUGCUCGAAUACAUUAGCAUGGAAUAAUAGAAUAGGACGUGUGGUUCUAUUUUGUUGGUUUCUAGGACCGCCGUAGUGAUUAAUAGGGACAGUCGGGGGCAUCAGUAUUCAAUUGUCAGAGGUGAAAUUCUUGGAUUUAUUGAAGACUAACUACUGCGAAAGCAUUUGCCAAGGAUGUUUUCAUUAAUCAGGAACGAAAGUUAGGGGAUCGAAGACGAUCAGAUACCGUCGUAGUCUUAACCAUAAACUAUGCCGACUAGGGAUCGGACGGUGUUAUUUUUUGACCCGUUCGGCACCUUACGGGAAAC